rnacentral:lncRNA from 1 species
UCUUUAAUUGUUAAGUCUGUGUUGUGUUUUAAUAAUUGACAGAGAUUCCUGAGGAAACUAUGUUCCUGGUUGAAAGAAAAGAAAAGGAGAAAUGGAGACACAAGGGGCAUAAGGAGUGUGAGAUUCCUGAAGAAAGUAUAAACGCGGAUAAAAGAAAAAAAAAGAAGAAAUGGAGACACAAGUGGCAUAAGGAGUGUGGUAAGUAGUGAAAUAUUUUAUAGUAGGAUUUCCCAGAGAGUAUUUUCCAGUCAUUAUAUUUUAAAAGAAGAAUGUACUGUUUGACUUCUGACAUGAUCCUCACCUUAGUUAGUUACUCUACCCAGAAUAUUUUACUGUUGAGUCUCAAUUACUCAUUUGGAUUGAUUGUUUCAAAAUCUUUAAAGGAAUCUGAAUAUCUGGGCUGAACUCCUGCACAAUCUCUUUUGUGAAACACUAAAGGGAUUUAGUUCCUUUCACUUGUGUAAAUAUUAACACCCUUCCCUUACAUCAGAGGUUAUUACUGUGUGAAAAUUUAUAUGUAUUUGUAGAGAACAGAUCUAGAACAACAGAUUGAAGAGGUGUGUGAUGAGUAACAUUAGUACUGUUCUGUGUGUAGUAUCAUCAAGUGUGGUUUUAAAGUCA